UGGGGAAUAUUGGACAAUGGGCGAAAGCCUGAUCCAGCCAUGCCGCGUGUGUGAAGAAGGUCUUCGGAUUGUAAAGCACUUUAAGUUGGGAGGAAGGGCAGUAAGCGAAUACCUUGCUGUUUUGACGUUACCGACAGAAUAAGCACCGGCUAACUCUGUGCCAGCAGCCGCGGUAAUACAGAGGGUGCAAGCGUUAAUCGGAAUUACUGGGCGUAAAGCGCGCGUAGGUGGUUCGUUAAGUUGAAUGUGAAAGCCCCGGGCUCAACCUGGGAACUGCAUCCAAAACUGGCGAGCUAGAGUAGGGCAGAGGGUGGUGGAAUUACCUGUGUAGCGGUGAAAUGCGUAGAUAUAGGAAGGAACACCAGUGGAGAAGGCGACCACCUGGGCUCAUACUGACACUGAGGUGCGAAAGCGUGGGGAGCAAACAGG
rnacentral:rRNA from 1 species